CUAAAACCAUUCGUGACACAAGAGAACGUCUUAUAAAAUUCGUAUAAAAAUAUACUAUUGAGGGUUGUAGGUGGUCACCUUUCGGAAUAUUCAGUGGCGCCCCCAACGUUAAUUUUACAACUUACAACUUUGUUUACCAAAUCACAACGAAUACGCAACAACUCCACGAAUUAGAAUUACGCAUUCAGCAGUUGCUUGUUGGCUAUAACGGAGUGAUGUGGUGUAGCGAGACUGAUGUGUUUCAAGCUGCAAAACAUUGCUCAUAACAAGAUUAUGAACAGGACCAAUAGGGAAACAUAUGCAGUGGAGACAUCAUUUCGACAAGAAGCCUUUAUCGUGUAAGCAUAUUCUGACGAUGGUUAAACACGGUAACAGGGCUUUCCACUGUGUAGUGGAUAAAACGAGAACGGGCGGAAAAUUGAGUCUUUAUUUUAAUUAAAUACUAGAUAGUUAGAAGAAACAGAUCGGGAAACUUAAUAGAAUUUGGAGACUUAAUAAAAUUAAAAUGUAAAAUUGUGUUUUUGUUAAACUGCCACUAAAAAUGAUUCAAAACACCAUUUUGCUAAAAAUUGCUAAAAUUGAACUUUUUAAGUGCUUUUGGCGCGUAUUCUGUAUUGAAAUCAUUAAAAUUUAAAGGCCGUUAAUCGUUGUUGUAGCAAUAACCAAUAAAAUUUAUAUAUUUGCGAUUUUGGCCAAUAUUAAAUUUUAACAGCUCGUUAAAAAAGUUACAGAAUAAGGCUUUUCAACUCUGCGUUCGUUGAGCAAAGUUCCCCAAUCUUAAAGGAAACAUUUUUACAAGUAAAUACUUUUAUUUGACUUGCUUUA